rnacentral:lncRNA from 1 species
GGCUGCGGAGACUUUAAAGGGGGCGCGCGCAGCCUGGCGGGGCCUUCACCUGGCGGCGGUAACGGCCGCCAAACAGGCCAAGAGAUGCCACCGCCUCGUCGUUUCCCCAUGGUUCCAUACACCAAUCAAGCGAGCCAUCGUGAUUAGUGACUGUGCUAAUCAGCAUCACCCACAGAUCGUGGCUUUUCCCAGAAAAAAUGCCCUUCCUGAGGCUGGGAAACUGAAAUUUUUCUUGCGGUCUGUUGACAAGACAGGAUCCCGUCUCGCCUUGCGGAAUUUUGUAAGUUUUUGUCUCUCGAGAACCACUUAAAGUACCUCAGGCUGCUGAAUUUUAAUCAGAGGAACACACAGAAUCUUUCAGUGCAGUUUGACAUUGACGCAUAGCAGCCAAAUUUCAGAGAUCUCAUCAUCAAUAACCAACAGCUCCUCGCUGCGUCUUGUAUUUUAGGUUCUUGGACUCUGACAGAUUUCCUUUUAUUCCCAGCUCCUCGCUGACACGGGAAGUCUGGCAAAAUUCUGAUCUGAGCCUAUACAUCUUGUUGUCCCCUUGUCAUCUCUUGAUGCUGGUUUCAGAGGCA